CGACAUCACCGUGAGCUCGCAGCUGUGUGAUGACGUCACGUUGCUGCUAAACAGGAAGUAUUUUUAGCUCUGUUGCUAGCCGGCUAACACGCGCAAAGAAAACGAGGGGAAAAAAAGGCGAAAAGAGGGAAAGAGGGGGGUUGACGUUGAGGACACAUGCUGCGGGGCUUUGAGUCAGAAUGAAACAACACACACAUAAACACACUUACAUGUGAGAGCUGCCGUUCGUCGGACGAUCAAGACGGUUGACACCCGCUGUGAUUGACGGGGAGGAAGAGGACGGUCACGUGAACGAGGGGGGGAAUAAAAAUCCCUGGGCUCAGCCAAUCAGAGCACCCGUGGCAGAGUCAGUGGCGGCGUUAAAUCCCGCCCACCGCUCGCCAGAGGGAUCCCACAGCAGAUGCACCAAUGAGGACGCAGCGAGUGUAAGGCGGGGACGAAGUAAAUCUUUCAGAGGACACCAGUGAACACUAAAACAUGCCGAAGAUUCCCGCUGCUGCAUUUUGGAAGCACCGGAACGAAACACAAAACACAAAGUGGCCCAAAUCCUCAGUGACAUCAUCCCAAAAGUGGAACACAUCCUGAACACUGUACCAACAUCCUCAAAUGUUCCUCAAAACAUCCCAUAACCUGAAAUUAUCUCCAUCCCAAAACGGUCUACUUCCUGAAACGAGCCUGACAAAUGAUCCCCAAACAGCCAUAUCCAUAAACGCCUACUUUCUGAAAAUGUCCAAUAUCCUGAAACUGUCUAAUUCCCGAAACGAUCCACAUUUUUGAGAUCAUCCCAAAAACUUCUUGCAUCCCGAAACACACCAAAUCAUCCCAGAUCUUGAAAUUUUUCCCAGUCCCGAAAUGAUUCCUCACCUUCACGCCGUUGUCAUCCCAAAACACCUCUUAUCCUGAAAUGAUCCCCAUUGUAUAUAAUCCCUAUAUACUGAUGAGGGAGUACUCGAUGAAUCGAUUCAACCCUAGAGUCCACCGUUUUAGUCCGGGAUCCCAAAAUCCCUUUGUUGUGAUUAGGGAGUCGAGAAUGGAUGAUUACCGCGUUCGGAAUCAUCCAUCCAUUCCCGACUCCCAAAUCACUAUGUAGUGAUUUUUAGGAAUGAUCUCUGUCCAAUAUAUGAAAAUCCAUAUGCAAUUGAUGACGGGAAUGACAGGUUGAACUGACUGCGUUGCCGGGCCGUCGGCAUCUUAUGAGCGUGAAGCGGCUGUGGUUCUUCUUGCUGCGACUCUUGGCCUUCCUCAGUUCUUCGGAGCGCUCGUAGUCGGCCAGGUCCAAAACCUCCUGAGCCUUGCGCUCGUCCCUCACCUGAGAAGGAAAAGUGGAGAGACGUCACGGCAACCCUCUCACACUCACUUCUGAAACGCUCUCUUACACGCACUACGGAAGGCUGUCAAACACUACUGAAACACUCUCACAUCACUGCUGUUUUUUUCCCCCCUCACACACUACUAAAAUGCUCUCACACUACUGAUUAUUUUUUUGGAUUUGUUUUGCUCACAUACGACAUUGAAAUGCUUUUUUGCCGCCCGCAUACACUACUGAAUUGUUAACGCUCUCAAAUGCUACGACUCUCACACAACACUGAAUUUCUUUCGCUCGCUACUGAAAAGCUCUCACACUAUUUUACUGGAAUUUGUUCACUCUCACACUUGAAAUGCUACACGCAAUACUUAAAUGUUUUUUGCUCUCACACUUACACACAGUACUAAAUUCUUUGCUCACGUGCUCCUAAAACACUCUCACACAUUACCGAAAUGCUCACACACGACUGAAACGCUUUCAUGCCACUCCUGAUUUGUCAAACGACGACUCGGUGCGGAACCAUGCACACUGCGCCGCCAUUCAGCUGCGGUCCCUGUUACGUAAGAAGGCGGCGGGUACAAAAGAGUCAAUAAGCGUGUCGAUAUGUGACCAACAUGACAUUGGCGCCACACACAAACACAAACGCACAACCUUUAACGUGCCUUCCUGUGAGUUCGCUACUUACAAGAACGUGACAUCGUUAACAGCAAAUGGGAUUCAUAAUAAUGCCUCUCUUGGAUCAUCAGUACGGCACUAAUAUUCGUCAUUCUACCCUAACCAAUCGGCCAACAGAUGUUGUCGUGGAGAUGAUGCAAACGGAGCUACGGCGCAAAGGGAAGCUCGAAAAUGACUGCGUUUGUGUAAACGUGCAUUUGUGUGGGCAUCAGUGUGUGUUUGCGUGUCUGCGUGAGAAUGAAUGCUCAUCAGCGUGCAUUAGCGCGCGUGUAUCAGUGGGUGUGUGUGCGUGUUGGUGUGUAUCAGCUGCAGGCUCAGUCGUGUCACAUGAUCUUUGAUUCAGUCGCACGUGCUGACUGCUCAGCCAGCAGCCUGCGAAUUUGGGUUUGUACGGGAGCGUGUGUGUGUGUGUAUUUGGAUGUGACUAUGCGUGUUUGAACGUGAAUGUCUGCAUUCAUGUGUGUUUGUAUGCAUUUGUAUAUAAGUGUGUGCAACUAUGAGUGUGUGUUCGGAUUUGAGUGUAUGUUAGGGUUAGGUGUGUGAGUAUGUUAGUGCACGGGUGUGUGUGUGUGUGUGUGUGUGUGCGCGCGAGUGUGAAUUUGUGUGUGUACAGUAGGUGUGUGUGUCCAUAUGAGAGUAUGUGUAUUUGAGUUUAGAUUUGGGUGUGUGUGUGUAUUUGUGUGCUCACGUGUACGUGAAUGUGUGCGCGUGUAUUUGAGUGUACUUUUUGUGAGCGUGUCGUCUGCGCACGCAUUUCAGUGUGCAUGCGAGUGGGGAAAACAGAAGUAUGCACGAUGCGCGUUGUCCCGACCUCCUUGUCCGAUAUGAACAAGUGUUCUCCUCUGAGGACCACGUAGCGACUCCUCCAAAGUUCCCUGAAGAUCCCGCGGCCGCAGAACUUCCUCAGCCAGCCAAACUUGUCCGGCUGCGGCGGGCCCAGGUGGGCCGGGUCCUCAGGGCCCUGGGGGACAAAACGCACGAACGCACACACGGAUCUGAACAUGAUUGCGUGUGCUAGCUAUCGUGGCAUGUUAGCCACGAGCUAACAGGUAAGUGUGAGGUGUGUCGGUGUUUUGCGCCCCCUGCUGGAGGGCAGCGGCAGCGUUUGCCCGCAGGCGGUGCGACUUAAGUGAGUGACCUACUUGCAUUAUGUAACAAAAAAACAGCUUGAUGCACUACCGCUGUAAUCUAUUACUCUCACCGGUCAAUUUAUUAAGUACACCAUGGAAUGACUUCUUCCACAUUGGUAAUAUUGUUGCUAAUUAUGCUUCACAGAGAUGUUUCUAAUAAUCUGAUCAGCAGCUACACAAAAGGGUCAUAUUUGGAACACUUGUGAUGCACUGCAGCACGUUAAUGAACCUUUUUUUGUUGCUUUAAUUAAAUGGCAUUAUUAAUGAACUCAUAUUUGAUGGCGUACCUAAUGAAGUGGCCAGGGAGCGCAUCCACAGAAGAAGGCGAUGAAGAUGGAUGAGCGAUGAAGGUGCGAACUUAUGAAUGGAUGUUUGAUGUUGAUGAUGGCCGGAUGAACGUGUAGUGGCCGUGCACGAGCGUAGCACAGGGUGCGCGUGUUCCUACCGGUCCUGCGUGGUUGCUCUUCUUCAUGCUCGCUCAGCUUCUUCUUCUCCUCUUUCAGCGUCUUGUCGUUCUUCUCUUCGUCUGUUGUCUGGCGGGAGGGAGGUGGCGUCCUCCCUGGGUGCGCGCGCGUGCGUGGAUGCGUGCGUGCGUGCGCGCAGAUGCUCCCCCUCGCCGUGCGCGCGCACUUUUAACC